rnacentral:rRNA from 1 species
UGGGGAAUAUUGCACAAUGGGCGCAAGCCUGAUGCAGCCAUGCCGCGUGUGUGAAGAAGGCCUUCGGGUUGUAAAGCACUUUCAGCGGGGAGGAAGGCGUUAAGGUUAAUAACCUUGGCGAUUGACGUUACCCGCAGAAGAAGCACCGGCUAACUCCGUGCCAGCAGCCGCGGUAAUACGGAGGGUGCAAGCGUUAAUCGGAAUUACUGGGCGUAAAGCGCACGCAGGCGGUCUGUCAAGUCGGAUGUGAAAUCCCCGGGCUCAACCUGGGAACUGCAUUCGAAACUGGCAGGCUAGAGUCUUGUAGAAGGGGGUAGAAUUCCAGGUGUAGCGGUGAAAUGCGUAGAGAUCUGGGGGAAUACCGGUGGCGAAUGCGGCCCCCUGGACAAAGACUGACGCUCAGGUGCGAAAGCGUGGGGAGCAAACAGG